AGGCUGCAAGUACAUUUGUACAUGUACAUUGCAAAUGGAAGGAGUGAGCUUGGAAUGUUCAACUUUACUUGGAAACUAUUGGCAAAGUACUGACAGAAUUUCAUGAGAAGCCAGUAAUAUAUAACUAGUCUUGCAACCGGAAACUAUGCGUAAAGUGCUGAAACUUAAGAACAACAUUCUACAUGUAUAUAUGCAAUAUGUGUUGCCACAAUCCACUUAAGGAGCUAAGAUCAACUAUAAAUUGGAACUACAUGUAUAUGCUUUAGUGCUGUCAAAAUCCUUUAAAAAAUCAAAUCAAUAGGACCUACUUCACCUAAUAUACAAGCUACCUGUCCCAA
rnacentral:lncRNA from 1 species